rnacentral:misc_RNA from 1 species
AGGAGUACGCCGCCGCUG